UCCCAGACUCCUACGGGAGGCAGCAGUGGGGAAUAUUGCACAAUGGGGGAAACCCUGAUGCAGCGACGCCGCGUGAGCGAUGAAGUAUUUCGGUAUGUAAAGCUCUAUCAGCAGGGAAGAAAAUGACGGUACCUGACUAAGAAGCCCCGGCUAACUACGUGCCAGCAGCCGCGGUAAUACGUAGGGGGCAAGCGUUAUCCGGAUUUACUGAGUGUAAAGGGAGCGUAGACGGCUGUGCAAGCCAGAUGUGAAAGCCCGGGGCUCAACCCCGGGCAUGCAUUGGAAACUGGCGGGCUGGAGUGCCGGAGAGGUAAGCGGAAUUCCUAGUGUAGCGGUGAAAUGCGUAGAUAUUAGGAGGAACACCAGUGGCGAAGGCGGCUUACUGGACGGCAACUGACGCUGAGGCUCGAAAGCGUGGGGAGCAAACAGGAUUAGAUACCCCAGUAG
rnacentral:rRNA from 1 species